GUGGGGAAUCUUAGACAAUGGGCGCAAGCCUGAUCUAGCCAUGCCGCGUGAGCGAUGAAGGCCUUAGGGUUGUAAAGCUCUUUCGUGGGGGAAGAUAAUGACUGUACCCCAAGAAGAAGCCCCGGCUAACUCCGUGCCAGCAGCCGCGGUAAUACGGAGGGGGCUAGCGUUGUUCGAAAUUACUGGGCGUAAAGCGCACGUAGGCGGACUGGAAAGUCAGGGGUGAAAUCCCGGGGCUCAACCCCGGAACUGCCUUUGAAACUCCCAGUCUUGAGUUCGAGAGAGGUGAGUGGAAUUCCGAGUGUAGAGGUGAAAUUCGUAGAUAUUCGGAGGAACACCAGUGGCGAAGGCGGCUCACUGGCUCGAUACUGACGCUGAGGUGCGAAAGCGUGGGGAGCAAACAGGAUUAGAAACCCCGGUAGUCC
rnacentral:rRNA from 1 species